rnacentral:rRNA from 1 species
GACGAACGCUGGCGGCAGGCCUAACACAUGCAAGUCGAGCGGACCUUUCGGGGUCAGCGGCGGACGGGUGAGUAACGCGUGGGAAUAUGCCCUUCUCUACGGAAUAGUCCUGGGAAACUGGGGGUAAUACCGUAUACGCCCUUUGGGGGAAAGAUUUAUCGGGGAAGGAUUAGCCCGCGUUGGAUUAGGUAGUUGGUGGGGUAAUGGCCUACCAAGCCGACGAUCCAUAGCUGGUUUGAGAGGAUGAUCAGCCACACUGGGACUGAGACACGGCCCAGACUCCUACGGGAGGCAGCAGUGGGGAAUCUUAGACAAUGGGGGCAACCCUGAUCUAGCCAUGCCGCGUGAGUGAUGAAGGCCUUAGGGUUGUAAAGCUCUUUCAGCUGGGAAGAUAAUGACGGUACCAGAAGAAGAAGCCCCGGCUAACUCCGUG